UCUCCGUAGGUGAACCUGCGGAGGGAUCAUUACCGAGUGAGGGCCCUCGCGCCCGACCUCCAACCCUUUGUUAAUGAAUAUGACGUUGCCUCGGGGGGCGACCCGGCUCGCGCCGGCGAGCCCCCCGGAGGACUACAACCUAAACUCUGCAUCUUUGCGUCGAGUAUUGAAACUAAAUCAAUUAAAACUUUUAACAACGGAUCUCUUGGUUCUG
rnacentral:misc_RNA from 1 species